CUAGUACUCCCUCCGUUCGGAAUUACUUGUCUCGGAAAUGGAUGUAUCUAAAACUAAAAUACAUCUAGAUACAUCCAUUUCUGCGACAAGUAAUUCCGAAUGGAGGGAGUACCUU
rnacentral:pre_miRNA from 1 species